CGUCUUCUCCCUCGCUGAAAGUCUGAAGGGAGCCGGCUUACGUUUCUGCUCCGCUUGCCUAGUGAGUCUUGAGCUGGCUUGAGGCAAUGCUGCACUUAACAGUAUAUUGUAAAGCUUGAAGUACUGUAUUACGUUGCCUGGCUGUUACUCCAGUGCUAGGAAAGUGGUUGGAAGGAUGAGGAAGACAAUGAACAAAAGGAGGCAUUUGGAAGGAUUUGUUUUACUUCAAAAACAAGAAUACUAAGCUUCCAUC
rnacentral:lncRNA from 1 species